GAUGAACGCUGGCGGCGUGCCUAAUACAUGCAAGUCGAACGAACGGACAGUAAGAUCUUGCUCUUACUGUUGGCGAGUGGCGGACGGGUGAGAAAUACAUCGGAAACUUAUAUUACUGGGGGGAUUACGGGGGACAACUGACACUAAUAGCGCAUACGUCCAACGGCUUAAAUCAGAGGUGCAUGAAAGUUUUCGCGACACAUUUAGACGAUUCCGGGUUGCAUUAGCUAGUUGGUAAGGUAACGGCAAACCAAGGCGACGAUGCGUAGCCGAGCUGAGAGGGUGAUCGGCCACACUGGAACUGAGACACGGUCCAGACUCCUACGGGAGGCAGCAGUAGGGAAUCUUGCGCAAUGGGCGAAAGCCUGACGGAGCAACGCCGCGUGAGUGAAGAAGGUCUUCGGAUCGUAAAGCUCUGUUGUUAGGGAAGAACAGCUGAUGGAGUAACUGCCGACAUUGUGACGGUACCUAAACAGAAAGCCACGGCUAACUACGUG
rnacentral:rRNA from 1 species